rnacentral:ncRNA from 2 species
UAUAAAGCGUUGAUAGGAAAUAGUAAUAAGAUUUUUGAUUUCAAGAGAGUCGAUGGCUGGUGUGAAUCGAUAAUCAAUUCUUAUGAAUCCGUCCUGGAGCAAGCUGUCGAAAAAGUAGUAGGCAGUUUCGGUUCAUCCGUUAUCUGGUUUAAGAGGAAGGCUUAUUUUAGCUUUCAAUUAGGGUGGCAACGCGGGUAAACUCUCGUCCCUUUC